UACUCAAGUUAAUAAAAAAAAAUAUGUAGUUUGCCUCUAUGUAUAUGUUACUGUAAAACUGUGUGUGGCAUUCCCUAAAAGAAGAAUCAGAGAGAGCCUCUGUAUGUGUAGAUAUGGAGAAGUAUAGGAUAUAAUGAUAAAUUUUGAUAGAGAUGAAUAUGGGAUUCAUCUAAUAAAUGAAUGAAUGAAAAUAAGAGCAUUGAUAUAAAUUUUAGGAAAGGCAGUUGAAAGAAAACAUAAGAAUAAGAGUUUUUGAAAUAACAUUAGAAAUAUUUAACCUUUAAAUUCAAAUUUUUUUACUAGAAAUAUGAACGUAUGCCUCUGUGUAUAUUUGUAUGACUAGAGUCGCAGAGCUGAACAAUUUCCAUUAUCAUAGAUAGAAUCACAUGUUUAAUCAUCCAAAAAUUCUAAAUUCUGCAAAUUGAAAAGAAAUCACUCAUCUUGGGUGGGAUAUCAAUUUAGGAAUCUAGAAAUUUCCACUAAGAAAAUCUUGGUCAAACCUGAAGAGUUUGAAUAACACAAUAAUUAGCAUAGCAUACUAAUUUUCUGAAUAUAGGCAUGUUUGAAUUAGACUAAUAUUUUAUACAGUAAUGGAAAUGUAAUAAAGUAUCAAGGACUUUUACUUUAAACCUUUGUUUAAAUCCAAAGACUUUAAAUCCUUGUUCAUUUAAGGAGAUAAAAUAACUUCGCAGCAGAAAAUAUUGGCUGACCCUAUCUUAACCAGUGACCAAAGUGAAAUUUUCAAAGGAAUUGGAUGACCUGAAAUCAUGUGCCUUAUAUGCCAUACCUCUCACUUUGACUUUGACUCAAAAUUAUUUCAAUUAAUGUCUAAUAGACAAUAUGAAUUCAUGCUAUGGCUGUGUGGUAGAACUUCAUCUUCCACCCAGUAUAUUCUUUACAGUGUCUCUCAUUUUGCAAAGCUUUGUGUCCAACGUGAGAGACAUAUCAUGAGGAAAUGGUAUGUAAUCUUCAAAAACAAAAAAAUCUUGUAUCAAGGAAAGCAUGCAGAGUAUUAAAGAUAAAUAAAGACUGAGUUAUUUUUGUCUCAUAUGCUUUUGUUUAGGCAUGUUUAGGAAUGUUUAGGCAUGUUUCUCUUUUGCCUGUACAUUAUUUUGUUUAUUCUACUGUUUUUUUUUUGCUUUGAGUGUGUAUGUUCCAGGGUGUUUGUUUGUAUGUACGUAUGUAUGUAUAUAUGUAUGUAUGUAUGUAUGUAUGUAUGUGUAUGAUUAUUGUUACAUUGUUCAUUCUUAUGUUUGUAUGUUUGUUUACUUUUCAAAGAGAAAGUGUGAGAAAAGUAGUUUGAUGAGUGAGGAGGUAAGAGGAACCUGGAAAGAUACUUUUGAGGUAAAUCCAUUAUCAGAAUAUAUUGUACUACAGAGCAAUAGUGAAAAAACUGCAUGGAGUUGGUACACAGUCAAACAAAUUGAUCAAUGAAAUAGAAUUGAAGACCCAGAAAUAAAACCACCAAUGUAUGCACACUUGAUCUUCAACAAAGAAUCCAAAAAUAUACAAUGACAAAAAGAAAGCAUUUUCAAUAAAUUGUAAUGUUCUCAUUGUCUUUUACAUAUUGAAAAAUGAAAAUAGACCAAUAUUUGUCACCAUACACAAAGCUUAAAGUCCAGGAGGAUCAAGCAAGAACCUCAACAUAAAUCCAGGUAGACUGAAUGUAAUAGAAGAGAAAGUCGGAAAGAGCCUUGAACUUAUUGGCACAGGGGGAAAUUUCCUAAACAAACUCCAAUGACUUACACUCUAAGAUCAAUAAUUGAUAAAUGGUACCUCAUGAAACUUGAAAUCUUCUCUAAGGCAAAAGAGAAUGUCAAUAAGACAAGAUGGAAACCUACAGAUUGGGGAAAAAUUCUUCAUUAACCCCACAUUCAAUAAAGGGCUAAUAUUCAAAAUAUGUAAAGAACUCAAGAAGCUAAGCACAAGAAAUAUCCCAAAACAAACAAACAAACAAACAAACAAAAAAACAAAAAAAAGCAAAGAACUCAAUCAAAAUGUGGUAUAGAACUAAACAGAAAAUUCACAACAGAAGAAUCUGGAAUGGCUGAGAAGCACCCAAAGAAAUGUUCAAAGUCCUUAGUGAACACAGAAAUGCAAAGUAAAAUGAUCCUGAGAUUCCAGCUUGCACCAAUCACAAUGGUUAAGAUCACAGCCUCAAGUGACAGCACGUGUUGGCAAGGAUGUAGGGAAAGAGGAACAUUCCUCCAUUGCUGGAUUGCUGGUGGGAUUACAAACUGGUACAGACUCUCUUGAAAUCAAUUUGGAGGUUUCUCAGAAAAUUGGAAAUCGAUCUACCUGAAGAUCCAGCAAUACUAUUCUUGAGAAUAUACCCAAAGGAUGGCCCACCAGGCCACAAAGGCAUGUAUUCCAAUAUUUUCCUAGUAACCUUGUGUGUGAAAGCCAGAAAUUGGAAACAACCCAGAUGUCCCAAAAAACAGAAGAAUGGAUACAGAAAAUGUGGUUCAUUUACAAAAUGGAAUACUACUCAGUUUUAAGAGCAAGGAUAUCCUGAGCAUUGAAGGCAAAUGGAUGAAACUAGAAAAUAUCAUCUUGACUGGGGUAACUCAGACCCCAAAGGACAUGCAUGGUAUGUACUCACUAAUAAUUAUAUAUUAGCCAAAAACAGAACAAAACAAAACAAAACAGAAUACUCAAGAUGCAGCCCACAUAACUCAAAGUUGAAGAAGCUGAAGGGUCCAAGUGAGAAUGCCUGAAUCCCACUUGGGAGGGACCCGAAAGCAAUCUCAAAGGGGAAGGAAGGGUGGGCGCUGCGUGGGUAAAGUGACAGCGUUUCAGAAGAGAAGAACGUAAUCUGGUACUGGGUGGGUUAAAAGAACUGAAGCUCUGUGGGCAAGCAGAAAAAAUGGAAACAGGAAACCUCUGGAGUUAGGUGGUUGGUCGGACCCUUCAGAAAGAACGAAACACCUGGAAGAUGAGAGAAUCUCAGGACUCAAACGUGAGGAAGGGGCUAGAUGAAAUUUCUACAGUGGGGAAAGGGAACUUUUAGAGCACAUCUCCAGCGGAAAGACAGGGCAUCAAGUGAGGGAUGUGGUUGCUAUACUACAGUCAAAGUUCUGACCCCUAAUUGUUUUCUCUGAAAGAACUGCAGAGAUGGAAAUCGAGAAGAACCCAAGGAAAAGAAGGUCCAGCAACAGGCCCAACACAGUAUCCAGCUCAUAAGGAGGCCUAAAAGUCUGUCUCGACCACUGAGGAAAUGGAGUGCUCACAAAAAUGACCUAACAUGACCACUCUCCAAAAGAUCCCUGAACGAGCAGCUGAAAGAGUCUGAUACAGAUAUUAGCACCCAACAAAUGGAUAGAAGGUGCUGACCACUGUGGUUGAAUUAGGAAAAAGCUGAAAGGUGAUGGCCAACCUGUAAGAGGUCUAGCAGCCUCAAUAAACUUGGGCCCCUAAGAUCUCUGACACUGAUCCACCAACCAGGUAGCAUACACCCACUGAUAUGGGGCCCCCAACACAUAUACAGCAGAGUACUCCUUGGUCUGUGGUCAAUCAGAGAAUCCUAAUCCUCAAGGUCCCAAUGAGUUUAGAGGUCUGGUAGGCGGGGGACUUUGGAGUGAUGAGUAACAGCCAGAGGGUAGACUGGGAUGGGAAUAAAAUUUGGGAUUUAGGAAAAUAAAUAAAUAAAAUUUAAAAAUAUGUAAUAAAUAUUAAGUAAAUAAUGAAUAAGUAAAUAAAUAAAAAUAAUAAAUAUAAAUAAAGAAAAGAGAAGAAGGGUAAACUGUGGAUUAUGUAAACAGUGGAGGAGUAGGUUCACCUCAAAAACUCAACUUGUCCCAGCAUCUGCAACUCUCCCAUAACAUAAUAGAGAUACAAUUCUUUAUCUACUUAAUUAAAUAUCCAGUCUGGAGACUUAGAGUAAGUAGUAUUGUGUUUUGUAUAACUUCAGGUUCAGGCUCAGUGUGUGCUCUCCUUGAGACUCUCCCAUUUAGGACAGAGUCAUCUACCAUAGCACAGACUCAAAAGUGCAAUGAAGAUCACAAGCUAUUUUCCGUGUUGACUAUUAUAUUAUUUGCUCUACCCUUGCAAUUUUUGUAUGAAAUUGAACUUCAGAAAAAAAAAAACUAAGGAGAAAUUUUUCAUUAUUUCAUUGGAAAAUGAUCAGAGGUUCCCUAAAUUGUAUCUCUCCUGUUUUUCCAUAUUCUUGUGUUUUAGACCACUGCCUUGCCAUCACCAUUCUAGAAUGAUAACCUUCCCUCAGCAGUUGUUCUGGCUCCCUAUCCAGUCAGAAGGAAUCAAAUAUACUAUACUGCCCAGUCCUGGAUUUAUGUUUAAUUCACCCGCAGAUUUUUGACAAAAUUUUGCUACUCUCUAUAGUCAUUGCCUCAUACCAAUUCUCACUUAGUUUUUAGCUUACCUAUUUACCCAUACAACAUCAACUGUUCUGCAGUAAUACUGGCCCUGACAGUCCUGGUCAUUACCUAAACAUCUAUCACAAAACGAUUCAAUAACUUACCCAAUUCUGUGAGCUUUACUGACAUAACAUGUAAUAUAUAUUUGAUUUCUGCUUUUACUCCUAAAGGCAGAAAAUAUAUCUCAAUGAUAGAUUGAACAUGUAAUAAUGCAUUUUAUGAACAAUGAAAACAAUUUAAUCAAUAUUGUAUGAACCAAUCUCCAUUGGGUAUAUUAUGACAUUUAAGAAAAUCCCUGAAACCAAGGUUUAAAAUUACAUUCUGCCUGUGAGGAAUAGAAAAUCCAAUCUUUAAUGCAGUCACUUGCAAUCACUUGGGAGUACUCGAAGACACAAAGAAUGUUUGUUCUUCAUUGUAUUUUGCUUAUCAAAACUCAUAAGUAAAUAUAUCCAUCUCAUAUCUGUCACUCCCAGUUAUCUCUCUGGCUCUCUGUUUCUCCUAUUUGUAGGAGAAGAUUUAAGCUAUUAACUACUACAUAAGGUCCAUUCCUGACUGUCUGCUAACAUAAUUCCCACCAUGCUAGUCCUGGACUAAUCAUCUGGAAGUAAGAACUACCCAGUUAAAUUCUUUUUAGACACAUUGCCUUGGCUAUGGUGUCUUAUCACAGAAAUAUAAAUGAAAUUCAUUAAAUAUCUAAUAACUAAUAUAUGAUCUCUAGGCACAGACAAGCAAGUCAUAGAGGAAGAAACUAGAUUGGGUAACAUAAAUCUCCCAGGGAGGGGAACAUCUGAUAGAAAUUAUAUAUGAUCUUUAAAUUAUCUCCCCCAAGCUCAAACACCCAGGUGGCUAACAGCACAAAAGAAAACUAUACUAUCUGACCAUAAACAUGAUAGUCACUUCCUACACAUCUUAAGAUAGUUCAAGUAACCUCUCUCUCAAACUGAGCUUCAUAUAAGAAAUAGCGUGGACCCUGGUUUGAGUUUCUAUGUAAUAACACUUCUUUGUAGUGUUACAUCAGGGAGUAGAAUUACAUCAGGAAACAUUUUCCAAAACUAUACUGUGUUUAAAUUUGUUGGGAAUAUAGUUAAUGAGAUCAAACUACCUAAAUCUGUUCCAAUUUUGAAAAAUCAAUUUAAAUGUGUUUUCUUCCUUGCCUCUAUGCAGUUUUCUUACCUGCCUCAACACUGGCACAAAUCCCUUCACUCAAAGGAAAGCAGAGUAGCUUAAAAGGAAUCCUUGAAUUGGAGUUAUCAAAGCUAGAAAUCAAGUGAAUGUUGGAACUUGAAUCCAGUUCCCAUGGAAGAACAGUCAAUGUUGCAUGCUACUGAUCUUGAGAGAAAACUGUGUGCCGGAUCCACUGCCACUGAACCGUGAUGGGACCCCGUCUUGCAAGCUACUUGCACCAUAGAUCAGGAGCUGAGGAGAUUUCCCUGGCUUCUGCUGAUACCACGCUAAGUUACUGUAAAUGCCCUCACUUGCUAGACAUUCGAUGGAGAUAGUUUCUCCCAGAGAUGCAGAUAGGGAAGGUGGAGACUGUGUCAUCUGGAUGUCACAUAUGGCAUCUAAGAUUGGAAAAUUAAAAAAAAAAAAAAACGACGCAUGACGAACUCUGUUGCAAGAAGAUUUUCAUAGUGAAAAAGAAACAUUUAUUACAGGAAGCUGAAUAAAUUUUCAGUGCUGUUUUCCUUACCUGUAAUCCACAGCAACAACACCCCAAGAGAUGAGUGGGCACACCCAUGUCUGUGUGUGAUCUGUGUGAGGCUGACUCCAACAGAGGGUGUGACCUGAUUAUGAAGAAGUCCUCAUGUCAGUGCUUUGGAUAUAUGCAAAUCAGCAAAAGUUUAUGGGAAGCUUCUGUUGUUACUAGGAGAUGCAACCUCACAGAAAAUUCCCUGAUCCUCUGGCUCUAUCAGUCUUUCCAUUUCCUUUUCCUCAAUGCUUCCGGGAUUUGGAGUUACUGAUUAUGUCUUCCUAUGGCCUUCAAGUUUCUCAACGUUGAAAACUCUUGAUGAUACUAACACGAACAUUUUAUUCAGCAUCUGCCUGGAUGCCCAAGAGUCUGAGAACCAGCCUUGAUGCCCCGAGACAUUUCCUGUUUUCCCCUUCCUGGAGUGGUCUUCCAGGGCUGCCCUAUGGCUCAACACCUGCCCAGCAUCAGCAUGAGGUAAACACAGAAGAACUUCCCACAACCUGCCUCCCUGAGCCCUGUGGUAGAACAUCAGAUGUGGAACCCACCACAACACAACAAAUGGUAGAAGUCUUGAAGACCUGCAGUUGAGUGUCAGUUUUCUUCAAAGUUUGUGACUAUGCUCCAGUUGUAAUGUGGUUGUGUUUUGUAAUCUCAUUCUUAUUCUCACCUGAAGGGUACACCAGAAAGCACAAAAGUUCAAGAAAAUUUCCAAGCUCAGUUGAACAAUUUAUAUAAAUAAAUACACAUAAAAAUACUUUGUAUUGAAGAGUAGUUCACUUACUAUAAAGUAUGCAGAGAGAACUUUGCAACAAAGACAUGACUCUCUGAGUCUGAGCUCUCUAGUCUUUGUGGGGCAAGA